GCUUCGUAUACGUUCGACGUGGUUCGUGUAUACCUUACGUAGAUAGAUAGGUCGGAAAGAAGGUGGUAAGGGAUAUAAAUCGCUUUGCAUGUGAACAUGUACGCGAGAGAGUAGCUUGUGUUCGGUGGAACACAUCGGUAUGUCGGGUACCGUAACUCGACUGUCGCCAAUGACUCGGAUCGAAGCCAAAGCUCUCAGAUCCGUUGCUGGAAAAGCAGUUGAACCGUGGACCAUCGCAUUGGCUUUUACAUAAAUCAAACGCUGCAUUAUGACUGGGAAAUGUAUAAUAGAGAGUUGAAAAGAUGACAAGCAAAGGAAUGUGGGUCUGAUUGGUUAUUUCUUUGUAGACUCAGCACAAAACAGCAACGUAAAGAUAAACACGUGUAUUGACCGAAAGUGUCACAUAAAACAAUAUGGCAAGACGUAACUAACGAUGGGGCAGCCAUAAACUUAAAUGCCUCGCAAAUUCUAUCCGUGAAAAUAUCCGUGGUACGAGAAAAAUUCGACAAUAACGCUGCAACCGCUGCAGGUGUGUACCGUGCGAAGCAGUACCACUUCGCAAAACUGUCUCUUCCCUUUCUACUUCUCCUUUCGAGUGCUGGCAUAAUCGCGCGCUGUUGGAAAACAUUUCAAACUCUUCAGUGUAGAUAUUCAAAGAAACUUUCAUCAAAAGUGACAAGCAUCUCUUGUGAACGGAUAUUCUA